rnacentral:tRNA from 1 species
GGCCGGAUGGUCUAGCUUGGUAUGGCCCUGGGUUUGGGACUCAGUGAUCCCGAGUUCAAAUCUCGGUCCGGCCACCA